CACUUGUUAGCAGAGACUUCUGGCCCGGCCCGGGCUGGGGAGGGGGCCUGGGUGCGGUUUUCUCCUGUGUCGUGGUUGUCUCUUUUGUCUUCCAGGAUGGACCUGUAGGGUCUACGUGGGGUAGGAGCUGGGAGCUGCACGCUGCCAGACAUGGACCGAGCGCCUUCUCCCGGCUAGAAGCUGAGGAUCCGGAGGUCAACACGCGGUGCGGUCCCGCCCUCUCAGGUCUUCACGACUCCCGGGUGACCCUGGACUCUGGCCACGGUGACACAGGGAGCAGCCUUUGGUGGUUUUCUGGAACCCUGGACAAUUCCCUGGAGACCUCAUCCUUCCCAACUCCUGGGCUGGAGCCCCCCGGGGAUAAAGGCCCCUCCUGGUUGGUGCUCAGCCAAGGACAGGACCUGGCUCUGGAGGACAGCGCGAGGGCUGUGAGGGAGGCUGGCAGCCCACCGUCCCCUCCGCUUCUGUCCGGACCUGCCUGCUGGGCCCUACGGUCCAGGCCUGGAGGCCCUUCCUGACCCCGUGAGGACGUGAUU